rnacentral:rRNA from 1 species
GGUCAAGCUACAAAGGGCGCAUGGUGAAUGCCUUGGCAUCAGGAGCCGAUGAAGGACGCGAUAAGCUGCGAUAAGCUUCGGGUAGACGCACAUAGUCAGAGAUCCGAAGAUUUCCGAAUGAGGAAACUCACAUGGGAAACCCCAUGUAUCAUAAAGUGAAUACAUAGCUUUAUGAAGGUAUACCCAGGGAACUGAAACAUCUAAGUACCUGGAGGAAGAGAAAGAAAAAUCGAUUUUCUUAGUAGCGGCGAGCGAAAAGGAAAGAGCCCAAACCAGAGAUUUAUCUCUGGGGUUGCGGACAGAACAUAACGAGAAAUCAUAGUUAAUUGAACACAACUGGAAAGUUGGACCACAGUGGGUAAUAGUCCCGUAAGUGAAAACUAUGAUAAUCAGUUCUGCACCAGAGUACCACGAGACACGUGAAACCUUGUGGGAAGCAGGGAGGACCACCUCCCAAGGCUAAAUACUACCUGAUGACCGAUAGUGAAGCAGUACCGUGAGGGAAAGGUGAAAAGAACCCCGGGAGGGGAGUGAAAUAGAACCUGAAACCAUGUGCCUACAACCGAUCAGAGCACCUUAUGUGUGUGAUGAUGUGCUUUUUGUAGAACGAGCCAACGAGUUACGGUAUGUAGCGAGGUUAAGUACUUAAGGUACGGAGCCGAAGGGAAACCGAGUCUUAAUAGGGCGACUAGUUGCAUGCUGUAGACCCGAAACCGGGUGACCUAUCCAUGGCCAGGUUGAAGCGAGGGUAAAACCUCGUGGAGGACCGAACCACGUUGCUGUUGAAAAAGCAUGGGAUGAGCUGUGGAUAGCGGAGAAAUUCCAAUCGAACUCGGAUAUAGCUGGUUCUCCUCGAAAUAGCUUUAGGGCUAGCGUCGGAAAAUGUGAGUAGUGGAGGUAGAGCACUGAAUAGGCUAGGGGGCAUAGCGCUUACCGAACCUUAUCAAACUCCGAAUGCCACAUACUAUCAGUCCGGCAGUCAGACUAUGAAAGAUAAGUUCCAUGGUCAAAAGGGAAACAGCCCAGAUCGUCAGCUAAGGUCCCAAAGUGUAAGUUAAGUGGAAAAGGAUGUGGGAUUUCUAAGACAACUAGGAUGUUGGCUUAGAAGCAGCCACUCAUUAAAAGAGUGCGUAAUAGCUCACUAGUCAAGAGAUCCUGCGCCGAAAAUGUCCGGGGCUCAAACUUACCACCGAAGCUACGGGUUCACGCAUUUGCGUGAGCGGUAGAGGAGCGUCGUAAUCGGGCUGAAGUCGUACCGUAAGGAGCGGUGGACUGAUUACGAGUGAGAAUGUUGGCAUUAGUAGCGAGAUGUAGGCGAGAAUCCUACAGGCCGAAUAUCUAAGGUUUCCUGAGUAAAGUUUGUCUUCUCAGGGUUAGUCGGGACCUAAGGCGAGGCCGAAAGGCGUAGUCGAUGGACAAUUGGUUGAUAUUCCAAUACCACUAUAAUCGUUAUUAUCGAUGGUGUGACGGAGAAGGAUAGGAUGUGCUAGCUAUUGGAUGCUAGUCUAAGCGUUUAGGGAGUUGGGAUUGGCAAAUCCGUUCCAACAAUUCUGAGGCGUGAUGGGGAAGGUUCUACGGAACCGAAGUAUCUGAUUCCAUGCUUCCAAGAAAAGCAUCUAGAGAGAGAAGUAGUGCCCGUACCGCAAACCGACACAGGUAGAUGAGGAGAGAAUCCUAAGGCCGACGGAAGAAUUGCAGUUAAGGAACUAGGCAAAUUGACCCCGUAACUUCGGGAGAAGGGGUGCCUGAGAAAUCAGGCCGCAGAGAAUAGGCACAAGCAACUGUUUAACAAAAACACAGGUCUCUGCUAAAGCGAAAGCUGAUGUAUAGGGGCUGACGCCUGCCCGGUGCUGGAAGGUUAAGGGGAACACUUAGUGGUAACGCGAAGGUGUGAACUUAAGCCCCAGUAAACGGCGGCCGUAACUAUAACGGUCCUAAGGUAGCGAAAUUCCUUGUCAGGUAAGUUCUGACCCGCACGAAUGGCGUAAUGACUUGUGCACUGUCUCAACUGCAAAUCCGGCGAAGUUGUAGUGCGAGUGAAGAUGCUCGCUACCCGCGAUUGGACGGAAAGACCCCGUAGAGCUUUACUGUAGCUUAGCAUUGAAUUUCGGUAUUGUCUGUACAGGAUAGGUGGGAGACUGGGAAACUAGGGCGUCAGCCUUGGUGGAGUCGUUGUUGGGAUACCACCCUGAUAGUAUUGAAGUUCUAACUGGAUGCCAUGAAACUGGUGACAGGACAUUGUUAGGUGGGCAGUUUGACUGGGGCGGUCGCCUCCUAAAAUGUAACGGAGGCGCCCAAAGGUUCCCUCAGAACGGUCGGAAAUCGUUCGAAGAGUGUAAAGGCAGAAGGGAGCCUGACUGCGACACCUACAAGUGGAGCAGGGACGAAAGUCGGGCUUAGUGAUCCGGUGGUACCUCGUGGGAGGGCCAUCGAUCAACGGAUAAAAAGCUACCUCGGGGAUAACAGGCUGAUCUCCCCCAAGAGUUCACAUCGACGGGGAGGUUUGGCACCUCGAUGUCGGCUCGUCGCAUCCUGGGGCUGAAGUAGGUCCCAAGGGUUGGGCUG